UGGCUACGAUUAUACAUUAUCGCGCCUCUAAGAGGGUCCUAGAAGCACAAGGAAUUAAAAAAAAAUGGUUGAAUUUCUUGAUAUGAGCCA
rnacentral:snoRNA from 1 species